rnacentral:siRNA from 1 species
UCGACCAUCUUACUCGACCACACC